AUUGAACGCUGGCGGCAGGCCUAACACAUGCAAGUCGAACGGAGCGGCGGUCGGGCGAGUAAUGACUACGAAUCUGUCUGCUAGCCGGGGAUAACGUACGGAAACGGGCGACAAUAUCGCAUACUAGCUGACUAGCCUUGGUCGGACUGGCUAGUUGGUGGGGUAAAGGUCUCCCAGGGCGAUGACCCGUGACUGGUAUGCGAGUAGGAUCAGUCACACUGGGACUGAGAGACGGUCCUGACUCCUACGGGAGGCAGCGGUGGGGAAUAUUGGACGAUGGGCGAAGGCCUGAUCGUGCCAUGCCGCGUGUGUGAAGAAGGUCUUCGGAUUGUAAGGCACUUUAAGUUGGGAGGCGUUACCAACAAAAUAAGCGCCGGCUAACUUCGUGCCAGCAGCCGCGGUAAUAC
rnacentral:rRNA from 1 species